AUUGAACGCUGGCGGCAGGCCUAACACAUGCAAGUCGAACGAGAGGCGGACGGGUGAGCAAUGGAUGGGAAACUGCCUGAUGGAGGGGGAUAACUACUGGAAACGGUAGCUAAUACUGCAAACCAUCAGAUGUGCCAAGAUGGGAUUAGCUUGUGGGUGGGGGAACGGCUCACCAAGGGGACGAUCCCUAGCUGGUCUGAGAGGCUGACCAGCCACACUGUAACGUAGACACGGUCCAGACUCCUACGGGAGGCAGCAGUGGGUAAUAUUGCACAAUGGGCGCAAGCCUGAUGCAGCCAUGCCGCGUGUAUGAAGAAGGCCUUCGGGUUGUAAAGUACUUUCAGCGGGGAGGCGUUACCCGCAGAAGAAGCACCGGCUAACUCCGUGCCAGCAGCCGCGGUAAUUC
rnacentral:rRNA from 1 species